UCACCUUGUCCCAAAAAAGGCUCGAACACACCACCUCAGGAGUCCCAGUCAGUCUCCUUAUCCCGUGAGACAUGUGGACACACAAGAGAAAUGUGUUUUUUUUUUCAUAUAUCACUGUACUUUUUAGACUCUAGACCUUCAAAAUUCACCAAGAAGUGGGCAAGGUAAGACUUGAACCUGUGACCUCAGGAGUCCCAGUCAGUGUUCUUAUCCCCUGAGCCACUUGGACACACAGGAUUAUACCAUUUGUUUCCUCUUUCAAUUUCUUGUCUAGACACUAGACUUCAAAAUUCACCUUGUCCCAAAAAAGGCUGGAACACUCCACCUCAGGAGUACCAGUCAGUCUCCUUAUCCCGUGAGCCAUGUGGACACACAAGACAAUUAUGUUUUUUUUUAUAUAUCACUGUACUUUUUAGACUCUAGACCUUCAAAAUUCACCAAGAAGUGGGCAAGGUAAGACUCGAACCUAUGACCUCAGGAGUUCCAGUCAGUGUUCUUAUCCCCUGAGCCACUUGGACACACA